rnacentral:lncRNA from 10 species
UUACCAAGAAUAACUGUAAAAUGUGCUGGGAAUGCAAUGUCCUGAGAUAAGGAAGAACUGCCUGAAACAGCCUGGAUCUUAUUCCUGUACUUCCUAGGGAAUGUAACAUCUCAAGUUAAAGAGGAACUGCCCGGAACAGCCCGGGGAUUGUUCCUCUCUCCUGAGAAGGAAGAUUACCUCCAAAGCUCAUCCACUGAGUCACACUGCCCCUGUGGUGGAGGGCGGGCUGCCUUUCCAGGUUCCUCAGCUGUGGUGUAACUGAAGCAGGCACAAUCAAGACUCCAUCUGCUCGAGGCAGCUUUCUCGAACCUUGGGGAACCUACUCACAAUGGAUCACAGGCUUCUUUUGUUUUGUUUCUUGCUGCCUAUCUUGGGAAGCAAAAAUCAGCUGAGUGAAGAUGAGGAAGAAGGUGUUAAAGGUUUGAAGAAAAAAGGAAAAGGAUAUACUAAUCUAAGAGGACAAGUAAGUAGAACAUAGAUAAUGAAAAUGCUGGCCCUUAGGACUGUUGGGCCUAAAUGCUCAUAUUAUAUUGGUAGUCACAAAUUUGAACUUUCUCUAGAGCCAAUUUUUGCAUGUGUGUGCAGGCCUGGAGUAGUUGGAGAGUUGGAUUUAAUAGAAUUGAGGGUCAAGCAACUACAACCAGGGAAGAGUGGGACAAGGGAGAUAAAGGAUAUUGGCAGGGGAGCAAUUAUAAACAUGGACCAUGAUCAAAACUGGACAGGAAGGAAAAUAGAGAUAAGAGGGGUGGAAGGUUAAAAAUAGUGAAAAUGAGAUAGAAUGAAUAGGUUGUAGGUCCCUGUAAAGUUGAAGAAGUAUUAUUAUGCAGUACUCGUUAUUGAAAUGAGGUCACUAUGCUUAAGGCACAGUGAAUCCUAGAAAAUAGUGGUUUUGUUUCUCAUUAGGCAAUACAUUCCUCCUUGCUCCAGAAUGCAACAUACAUGUAUCCUUUUCUGUACUAUUUUUUAUUAAGAAUUCAUACUUAAUUCCACUGACUGCCACUCAAUUUUAAUGUACAGUAGGGAAUUCCUGUACUAUGUAUUAUGAAUCCAUUCCUUUGAAUUUCAUUUAUAAUACUUCAUGACUGACACCUGGCUUUCCACCAAGACUCAAUUUUCAUAGCAAGCCUCAUCAUCAUAAGCCCCCAAAUUAACAGGAUGAGGAGGAAGAAUUGGCAGGCUAAAGAAGAUGAUUAUAUCAAUUAAUGCAGAAAAAGCAUUUGAUAAAAUCCAAUAUUCAUUUGUAAUUAAAAACUCUCAGCAAGUUAGGGA